CCCUUAGAUGUUCUGGGCCGCACGCGCGCUACACUGACGAAUGCAACGAGCUUAUAACCUUGGCCGAAAGGUCUGGGUAAUCUCCAAAUUUCGUCGUGAUGGGGAUAGAUUAUUGCAAUUAUUAAUCUUCAACGAGGAAUGCCUAGUAAGCGCAAGUCAUCAGCUUGCGUUGAUUACGUCCCUGCCCUUUGUACACACCGCCCGUCGCUCCUACCGAUUGAAUGGUCCGGUGAAGCGAUCGGACCGCGGCCUCUUGACGGUUCGCUGUCGAUUGGCUGUGGGAAGUUCGUUAAACCUUAUCAUUUAGAGGAAGGAGAAGUCGUAACA
rnacentral:rRNA from 1 species